GAUGAACGCUAGCGGGAGGCUUAACACGUGCAAGUCGAGGGGCAUCACGAGGUAGCAAUACUUUGGUGGCGACCGGCGCACGGGUGAGUAACGUGUAUGCAACCUACCCUGUACAGGAGGAUAGCCCGGAGAAAUUCGGAUUAAUACCCCAUAAUGAUAUUUUAUGGCAUCAUAAAAUAUUUAAAGCUCAGGCGGUACGGGAUGGGCAUGCGUAACAUUAGCUAGUUGGUAGGGUAAUGGCCUACCAAGGCGACGAUGUUUAGGGGUCCUGAGAGGGUGAUCCCCCACACUGGUACUGAGACACGGACCAGACUCCUACGGGAGGCAGCAGUGAGGAAUAUUGGUCAAUGGGCGCGAGCCUGAACCAGCCAUCCCGCGUGGAGGAAGACUGCCCUAUGGGUUGUAAACUUCUUUUCCAGGGGAAUAAAAUCUCGAACGAGUUCGGGACUGAAGGUACCCUGGGAAUAAGCAUCGGCUAACUCCGUGCCAGCAGCCGCAGUAA
rnacentral:rRNA from 1 species